rnacentral:rRNA from 1 species
GGACGAAAGUCUGACGGAGCAACGCCGCGUGAACGAUGAAGGCUUUCGGGUCGUAAAGUUCUGUUGUCAGGGAAGAACAAGUACCGGAGUAACUGCCGGUACCUUGACGGUACCUGACCAGAAAGCCACGGCUAACUACGUGCCAGCAGCCGCGGUAAUACGUAGGUGGCAAGCGUUGUCCGGAAUUAUUGGGCGUAAAGCGCGCGCAGGCGGUUCCUUAAGUCUGAUGUGAAAGCCCCCGGCUCAACCGGGGAGGGUCAUUGGAAACUGGGGAACUUGAGUGCAGAAGAGGAGAGCGGAAUUCCACGUGUAGCGGUGAAAUGCGUAGAGAUGUGGAGGAACACCAGUGGCGAAGGCGGCUCUCUGGUCUGUAACUGACGCUGAGGCGCGAAAGCGUGGGGAGCAAACAGGAUUAGAUACCCUGGUAGUCCACGCUGUAAACGAUGAGUACUAGGUGUGGGGGGCGAAGCCCUCUGUGCCGCAGUUAACACAAUAAGUACUCCGCCUGGGAAGUA